CUCAAAACUUUUUUUAAAAAAAUCCUUCUUAGGGGUUGGAGUUGUGGCUAGUCUCUCCUAAGAAAAAAUCAGCAUGGGUUCUACUUCAGAAUUGGGCAAACUGCAGGCCAUGUGUUCACUGCUCUAAAUUUAUGGUUUCCUUGUCUGUUUAAAACUUCUUGCACCAUCAUUGUAGGUUACUUGCAAAGGGCAUGUGGUUAAAAAGGUUCGCUACAGGAUUGGGUUACUUUCUGGGCUGUAAUGCACAUUGUCCUAAGCCUUUGUGCAAGGUGUGCCAUGUAUAGUUAAUCACAGAAGAACUAUCCCUGAAGAAAGGUCCUGGAGAGAGGGGGAAUCUUAAGCAGUGGGAUUCUUGGCAUAGCAGAUGUAAAGAGUUUCAGAAUGUGCCAGUCAGGCUGACAGGUCUAUUUAGGAAAACAUUCAGGGUAGAAUGUGGGCCACUUCCAGAGAGGCAGAGAUGACACCUGAUUGUGUAGAGUGCUGGAGACUGGACUGGAAGUGGAGCCAGGGCACUGGGCAUUGCCCUAAUGUAAUGUUUGCAGAUGGGCAUGUGGCUCGGGAGUUGGAAUUGCUCCUGGGUGUUUUGUGCAUUUUAAUGGUUCACGAGUACAAGUUUUGUUUUUAAAACCAACCACCUUUUAGAAAGUUGUUAAGUACCUGUAGGUUUGCAUCCCUUUUUGCAAAAGGGGGCAUAUGAUUUGAUUGCAGAAGGGAAAUAUCUAUGUGUAGGCAAAG
rnacentral:lncRNA from 1 species